AUUAUAACCACAAAUACCGCAACAUUUGGCGGGGAGCACUGGUGGUUAUGCCAAAAAAUAUAUAAAAGCCCACAAUCACCUGCGAAGAUUUGACAGGUCGAGAAAACCGCCAAGACGCCACUCGUAGAAUUCAGAUUAUAAUUUUUCUGGAGUUUUAGGUUAUCUGUCAAAUGGAGGGAUAAAUUGUCCACCGGGGUUGACAGAUAAUUGUUAUUGUUAUUAACUAAUGCUUUUAUUUAUUUACCAGAGAUCGACAUGGAGGCGGAGAUUUUAAAGACCAAUCAGAGAUCCCUCCGUAUGCAAGUGAGGAAUGACCUCAUGUACAUUAUAAAUCGUUAUUACCUAAUUGUACGAUUAAAAUUCUUGUGCAUUUAUUCAUUAAUUGGGGAAAUAUUAGAGUAGGUUUCGA